GCACAAGCGGUGGAUGAUGUGGAUUAAUUCGAUGCAACGCGAAAACCUUACCUACCCUUGACAUGUCCGGAAUCCUGCAGAGAUGCGGGAGUGCCCGAAAGGGAAUCGGAACACAGGUGCUGCAUGGCUGUCGUCAGCUCGUGUCGUGAGAUGUUGGGUUAAGUCCCGCAACGAGCGCAACCCUUAUCAUUAGUUGCUACGCAAGGGCACUCUAAUGAGACUGCCGGUGACAAACCGGAGAAGGUGGGGAUGACGUCAAGUCCUCAUGGCCCUUAUGGGUAGGGCUUCACACGUCAUACAAUGGUCGGUACAGAGGGUUGCCAAGCCGCGAGGUGGAGCCAAUCCCAGAAAGCCGAUCGUAGUCCGGAUUGUUCUCUGCAACUCGAGAGCAUGAAGUCGGAAUCGCUAGUAAUCGCGGACCAGCAUGUCGCGGUGAAUACGUUCCCGGGUCUU
rnacentral:rRNA from 1 species